GGUUUGUAUAGCCUGCCACUUAUGAACUCUACUAUCUUGGGCAGACUACUUAACCACACUGAGUUUACUGGUUUCCUCAUUUAGAGAAAUGAGUUGAUACUAAUAAUUAUCAUUUCUCCCUUACAGUGUUGAUCUGAAUUAGUAAAUGAGAAGAUGACUGUAAAGAGCACUUCAUUAGAGAUGGGAAAACAGAGACCCUGAGGAAAAUGCCAAAUGGAACACAACCAGAAAGCUGGAAAGCCAGAACCAAAGGCUGGCCUUGCUGUUGUUUCUGCUCCACAUCUCUGUCCUUCAAUAGGUAUUAAUAUCCUGCACUACCAUGAUAUACAGGGAAAGUUGGCCCCAUUACCAGUUACAAAGGGAUCGUGGAGGGUGGUGUGGUUUGCUUGCCAUGUGAACUCAAGUGAGUCAUUUCACGUCUCUGAAGCUGUUUCCUCAUGUAUGAAAUGGAACUCAAAAUCUCUACCCCGUCUACCUCCGAGGUUGUUUGUAGAACUGAGUCAGCAAAGAGAGAGAAGAUCUCUUAAAACUCUGGAAAUAUAAGGAUUCGUUAUUAUCAGGGGUUUUUGGAGGGAGAACAAGGAAGGUAUGUUGCUG
ensembl:lncRNA